rnacentral:rRNA from 1 species
UCCGUAGGUGACCAUAUAAGUCUCUUGUUCAAGACUGAGGCUCAACUUCAGAAAGGCAAGGGAAACUAUAUGGAUUGAGUUAGCUCGAGGAAACUGGAAUUCUCGGUGGAGGGGUGAAAUCCGUAGAUAUCGAGAGGAACGCCAAUCGCGAAGGCAGGUUUCUAGGGCUUAACUGACACUGAUGGACGAAAGCUUGGGUAGCAAAAG